UAUAAAUACGCGCUUCCCUGAUAAAAUACAUUCAUUACAUUCUACAAAGUAUCGCAAGAUUGUAUCUCUCUACAAAUCUGUUCAAUAAGUUUUUCCGAAGAUGUCAAAGCUCAUGAUCUUACUUCUUUUGGUAGCAUUGUUAGCGGCUGUGACAAAUGCCCAGCUGCGUGAUGUGUGUUCUACAAGAGGUGAAUCGUGUUGGUCUGAAGUGUGCUGUGAGGGAACAACUUGUAGCGAACAAAUGAGAUGUGUAUAAUUCAAGAUUUUCUUGUUACAUUUACACAAUGAUGUUUGGAAUUUUCCUCUUGAGUAACAAUUUAACAAUAAUAUUCUGUAUCGUUUUUGAAAUCAACUAAUAAAUUGAAUUUAUGAUAAAAUA